UGAGUAACCUGCCCUUAACUCUGGGAUAAGCCUGGGAAACUGGGUCUAAUACCGGAUAUGACUCCUCAUCGCAUGGUGGGGGGUGGAAAGCUUUUUGUGGUUUUGGAUGGGCUCGCGGCCUAUCAGCUUGUUGGUGAGGUAAUGGCUCACCAAGGCGACGACGGGUAGCCGGCCUGAGAGGGUGACCGGCCACACUGGGACUGAGACACGGCCCAGACCUCCGUACGGGAGGCAG
rnacentral:rRNA from 1 species